rnacentral:rRNA from 1 species
CGGGUGAGUAAUACAUCGGAACGUGUCCCGUAGUGGGGGAUAGCCCGGCGAAAGCCGGAUUAAUACCGCAUAUGCUCUACGGAGGAAAGUGGGGGACUCGCAAGGGCCUCACGCUAUGGGAGCGGCCGAUGUCCGAUUAGCUUGUUGGCGGGGUAAUGGCCCACCAAGGCGACGAUCGGUAGCUGGUCUGAGAGGGUGAUCAGCCACACUGGGACUGAGACACGGCCCAG